rnacentral:rRNA from 16 species
GGAUGCGAUCAUACCAGCACUAAAGCACCGGAUCCCAUCAGAACUCCGAAGUUAAGCGUGCUGGGGCGAGAGUAGUACUAGGAUGGGUGACCUCCUGGGAAGUCCUCGUGUUGCAUUCC